UGGACGAAAUCUGACGCAGCCAUGCCGCGUGNAGGANGAANGCCCUAUGGGUUGUAAACUGCUUUUCUGCAAGAAAAAACCUUACUACNUCGUACUAAAUUGACGGUACUUGNAUGAAUAACCACCGGCUAACUCCGUGCCAGCAGCCGC
rnacentral:rRNA from 1 species